rnacentral:rRNA from 1 species
GAUGAACGCUGGCGGUGUGCCUAAUACAUGCAAGUCGAGCGAACAGACGAGGAGCUUACCCCUCUGACGUUAGCGGCGGACGGGUGAGUAACACGUGGAUAACCUACCUAUAAGACUGGGAUAACUUCGGGAAACCGGAGCUAAUACCGGAUAACAUGUUGAACCGCAUGGUUCAACAGUGAAAGACGGUCUUGCUGUCACUUAUAGAUGGAUCCGCGUCGCAUUAGCUAGUUGGUAAGGUAACGGCUUACCAAGGCAACGAUGCGUAGCCGACCUGAGAGGGUGAUCGGCCACACUGGAACUGAGACACGGUCCAGACUCCUACGGGAGGCAGCAGUAGGGAAUCUUCCGCAAUGGGCGAAAGCCUGACGGAGCAACGCCGCGUGAGUGAAGAAGGUCUUCGGAUCGUAAAACUCUGUUAUUAGGGAAGAACAAAUGUGUAAGUAACUAUGCACGUCUUGACGGUACCUAAUCAGAAAGCCACGGCUAACUACGUG